GAAGAGUUACGGUACUCUACUCCAUGUGUUGGUGGUGUCUGACAGAGGAGAUAUAAAGGUAUCUAUUAGAAGACUUACGGUACUCUACUCCAUGUGUUGGUGGUGUCUGACAGAGGAGAUAUAAAGGUAUCUAUUAGAAGAGUUACGGUACUCUACUCAAUCUGUCUAUAUUUAUCUCAAUGUGUUUUUUCCAACCCACUUUCCACUAGUCCAGGGGAAAAUCACUAUGACCAGAACAGAUGGUAAAAAGUGUAAUCUCUCCCUUCCUUUUUCUCUCUCUCUCCUUUUCUCCCCUGUCUCUCUCUCUCUCUCUCUCUCUCUCUCUCUCUCUCUCUCUCUCUGUCUCUCUCUCUCUCUCUCUCUCUCUCGCUCUCUCUCUCGCU
rnacentral:lncRNA from 1 species